rnacentral:rRNA from 1 species
AAAGAGGCGCGGCAUACAGCUCAGUAACACGUGGCUAAUCUGCCCUUGGGAUGGGAAUAACCCCGGGAAACUGGGGCUAAUUCCCAAUAGGCGAAGAACUCUGGAAUGAGUCUUUACCAGAAAAGACGCUUGCGUUAUGCUCGUAGGCGUCGCCCAAGGAUGAGGCCGCGACCGAUCAGGUUGUUGGUGAGGUAAUGGCUCACCAAGCCUUUUACCGGUGCGGGCCGUGAGAGCGGGAGCCCGGAGAUGGGCACUGAGACAAGGGCCCAGGCCCUACGGGGCGCAGCAGUCGCGAAAACUUUGCAAUAAGCGAAAGCUUGACAGGGCUAUCCCGAGUGCCAUCCGCUGAGGAAGGCUUUUACCCAGUCUAGAACGCUGGGGGAAUAAGGAGAGGGCAAGUCUGGUGUCAGCCGCCGCGGUAAUACCAGCUCUCCGAGUGGUGUGGAUGUUUAUUGGGCCUAAAGCAUCCGUAGCUGGCUAAGUUAGUCCCUUGUUAAAUCCACCGAAUUAAUCGUUGGAUUGCGGGGGAUACUGCUUGGCUAGGGGACGAGAGAGGCAGACGGUAUUUCCGGGGUAGGGGUGAAAUCCUAUAAUCCCGGGAAGACCACCAGUGGCGAAGGCUGUCUGCUAGAACGCGCCCGACGGUGAGGGAUGAAAGCUGGGGGAGCGAACCGGAUUAGAUACCCGGGUAGUCCCAGCUGUAAACGAUGCAGGCUAGGUGUUUGAACGGCCGCGUGCCGUUCUAGUGCCGCAGGGAAGCUGUUAAGCCUGCCGCCUGGGGAGUACGAUCGCAAGAUUGAAACUUAA